rnacentral:rRNA from 1 species
CCUACGGGUGGCAGCAGUGAGGAAUAUUGGUCAAUGGACGAGAGUCUGAACCAGCCAAGUAGCGUGAAGGAUGACUGCCCUAUGGGUUGUAAACUUCUUUUAUAUGGGAAUAAAGUUCAGUAUGUAUACUGUUUUGUAUGUACCAUAUGAAUAAGGAUCGGCUAACUCCGUGCCAGCAGCCGCGGUAAUACGGAGGAUCCGAGCGUUAUCCGGAUUUAUUGGGUUUAAAGGGAGCGUAGGCGGACGCUUAAGUCAGUUGUGAAAGUUUGCGGCGCAACCGUAAAAUUGCAGUUGAUACUGGGUGUCUUGAGUGCAGCAGAGGUAGGCGGAAUUCGUGGUGUAGCGGUGAAAUGCUUAGAUAUCACGAAGAACUCCGAUUGCGAAGGCAGCUUACUGGACUGUAACUGACGCUGAUGCUCGAAAGUGUGGGUAUCAAACAGGAUUAGAUACCCCUGUAGUC